rnacentral:siRNA from 1 species
GGCAUCGGUGCUUUGGGGAAUCCA